rnacentral:rRNA from 1 species
GAUGAACGCUGGCGGCGUGCCUAAUACAUGCAAGUCGAACGCAUAGCGAAAGGUGCUUGCCCCUUUCACGUGAGUGGCGAACGGGUGAGUAACACGUGGACAACCUGCCUCAAGGCUGGGGAUAACAUUUGGAAACAGAUGCUAAUACCGAAUAAAACUUAGUGUUGAAUGAGAAAAAGUUAAAAGGAGUUGAGGGGGUAGAUAGAGAGGGAUCCGCGGUGCAUUAGUUAGUUGGUGGGGUAAAGGCCUACCAAGACAAUGAUGCAUAGCCGAGUUGAGAGACUGAUCGGCCACAUUGGGACUGAGACACGGCCCAAACUCCUACGGGAGGCUGCAGUAGCGAAUCUUCCACACUUGUCAAAACCCUUAUACAUCAACACCUCGUUUGUUAUGAAGGCUUUCGGGUCGUAAAGCACUGUUGUAUGGGAAGAACAUCUAUAAUACUAAAUCAUUUUAUUUUAACUUUCCCCUAACAGAAACAGACGGCUAAAUACCUG